GACGGAGGAUGCAAGUGUUAUCCGGAAUCACUGGGCGUAAAGCGUCUGUAGGUGGUCAAAUAAGUCAACUGUUAAAUCUUGAGGCUCAACCUCAAAAUCGCAGUCGAAACUAUUCGACUAGAGUAUAGUAGGGGUAAAGGGAAUUUCCAGUGGAGCGGUGAAAUGCGUAGAGAUUGGAAAGAACACCGAUGGCGAAGGCACUUUACUGGUCUAUUACUAACACUGAGAGACGAAAGCUAGGGUAGCAAAUGGG
rnacentral:rRNA from 1 species